AAAUGAAUUGACGGGGGUCCGCACAAUCGGUGGAACAUGUGGUUUAAUUCGAUGAUACGCGAAGAACCUUACCUGGGCUUGACAUUGCCUAGUAGGAGCCCGAAAGGGUGACGACCUAUCUUCGGAUAGGAGGGUAAACAGGUGGUGCAUGGCUGUCGUCAGCUCGUGCCGUGAGGUGUUGGGUUAAGUCCCGAAACGAGCGCAACCCUUGCUCUUAGUUACUCGUCUGAAAAGACAGCACUUUAAGAGGACUGCCGUGGUUAACACGGAGGAAGGUGGGGACGACGUCAAGUCAGCACGCCCCUUAUGUCCAGGGCUACACACGUGUUACAAUGGUUGGUACAGAGAGAAGCAAAGUCGCGAGGCGGAGCAAAUCUCAAAAAACCAGUCUCAGUUCGGAUUGCAGGCUGCAACUUGCCUGCAUGAAGUUGGAAUCGAUAGUAAUCGCGGAUCAGCUAGGCCGCGGUGAAUACGUUCUCGGACCUUGUACACACCGCCCGU
rnacentral:rRNA from 1 species